UUUCUUCGUUGGUUCUCUCUGAAAUUCCAAACGACCCUGCCGCUUCUCUGCUCCUACGGCUCGCCUCUCACUGCAAUCAACUUUUCAUCUCCGUCAUCUUCCCUUCUCAUCGGCUUCGGCUUUCCGGGCGUCGGUGGUUCGGUUUUGCGCGACGGUUUCGGCGGAGGGGAGUAACACCGCCGGAAUCUCCAACUUCACAGAGUAGCGUUUUCUUAGAGCUUUGACAACAUCGUUUGUUAUGGACGAGUUAGAGCUUCCAAGUAGAUUGUUUGAAACAGGCUGCAAACCCAGUGGCAAGAAAAGGGUUAACAACUAUUUCAAUCUCCGUUGGAUUGAAGUGAUAAAUAGUGCAUUAGAUGAUGAGGACCUGACGAUGUUGAGUGCUUCACAGUUUGACCAAGUACUAAAGAUGGGGUCCCAUACCUUCUCGGUUAUGUUUCUUCAUUACCUUCUUUCACGACAAUUGAUCAAUGAGAAGGACUUCGAAUUUUGGUGGCUUUUCGUGGGGAAACCAAUUCGGUAUGUUAUUCAAGACUUUGCACUUGUAACUGCUUCUAUUUCUAUUUGAUUCAGUGUAUAUGAAAUGAAAAUGAUCUUAUUUGUAGUCCCUCUCUGUUUAAAUUUGGAAUUGGGUUGUGUAAGUUUGUACGUUUGGUGUUCAUAUAUGAAGUAUUUACCAUGAUUUAAUUUCAGUAAAAUUUGAGCUGUCUAGGGAUUAGGGUUUAUAUUUUUCUAACUUGGGUUUAGUGUUUAUUAUCAAUUGUUUGGUUACCAUCCCCUUUAUCUUUGUAUAUCAUGGUGCUCAAUGCUUGAUCUACUAUACACAUAGUACCAUUUGAAAUAGUACCGUUCCAAUGGAAUAAAAGUCUUUUUGUAACCCUAUAACACACAUUUUCCUUCUCGUAACCAUUACCUUAUACCCAUUGUUUAAAGUUACACGGUGAAAAUAUCUUGGUAAAUCAAGAGGUGUACGUGGCAUCCUCUUACUCUUUCAUAUGUAAUAGCUGUCAUCAACUUGUGUUAGGUGUUUAAUGUCAAGUGUAGUUUUACCACUCCCCCAUUAGAUUUGUAUCCAAGUAACAUAGUAUACGGUAUAUGGAAUGGAACAUUUAAAAUAAUAAAUACAUAGCACAAUUAUAUGGAAUAACAUUCGCAUGAGAUUGUACCUACGUUUCCCACUGCAAAUUCCAUGUGGCUCAUGAGGUUUAUAUUUUCAUAAGAUUUGGGUUCCCUAUGUAUUGGGGUUUAUAUUUUCUUAACUUGGGUUUAGUGUUUACUAUCAAGUGUUCUAUUACCAAUCCCAUUAGCUUUGUAUUUCAUGUUGGUCAUGAGGAAUAUAAAUACAUGUUCUCAAUAGUAUGACAUGUGGAUUUAAUUUCACAAAGAUUUGGGUUACCUAUGUAUUGGGGUUUAUAUUUUCUUAACUUGGGUUUAGUGUUUACUCUCAAAUGUUAUAUUAUCAUUCCCAUUAGCUUUGUAUUUCAUGUGACUAAUGAAGAAUGUAAAUAUAUGUCCCUGUAUUAUUGCACGUGGAUUUAGUUUACCGAUAUAACAUAGUACAUAAUAUUUGCCUCUACAAUCAUAGACACUUCAAAAUUUGAACAAUAUAUAUAUGUACUGUGCUAUAUCGUUUGUUACAUUUUAUAUUCUAUAGCUCAUGUAGAAUGGAAAUGCAUGUUACUUGGGAGUUUAGUUUAUGAAAGAUUGGGGUUGACAUUGGAUUAGGGUUUAUAUUUCCAUAUAGGGUUUAGUGAUUAGUAGUUAGGGUUUAGUUUAUGGAAGAUUGGAGUUAACAUUGGAUUAGGGUUUAUAUUUUUAUGUAGGGUUUAGUGAUAGUUGAUAGGGUUUAGUUUAUGUACGACUACAGUUGGCAUUGGGGCAUGCAUUACCAGCUUCCAUGAAGGCAUGACCAUAUCAACAUUUAAAAAAUAUGUUAAGAUGAUCUUUAGAUUGCAAAUACAUUUUUACCAUUUCUAUUCUAUAUGCCUCAUGUAGAAUGGUAAUGCAUUUUACUGGCCACCAAUACGUUGUGUUUGAUUUGCUUCUAACUUCAUAAAUGAUAUGGUUAUGUUACCAUAUGGAAUAGUUCUACGAUAUAAAAAAUAAUAUUCUCUAUUAUGUGUAGUACUACUUGUGAAAUGAAAAUUAAACUUUAUUUGCAGUGUUAUGAAGGAAACAUAAGAUAGUAACUUAUAUUUUUGCAAUAUCUGAUUUAUUUUGGCAAUAUAUGACUUCUCUUUAGAUAAAGUAUUACAUAUUUUGCGUCUAUCAUGCAUAUUUCAACUGUCCAAUGUAAAUGCUCUUUCAAUUGGAACUAUAUUUGUCUUUAUAUUAUUCUAUCUACAAUAUAUAGUAUGGAACUACAGUUUCUGGAUUCUCCGUUUGUUUAACGUUGUCUUUUACACUUACUUAUCAUCAAUUCCUCUCUCUGCAUUUUUUUUCCUUUUUUUGAUUUUGAAUAUGGUUUAUGCACGUGCUUCCAAAAGUGUUUCAUUGUUAUUAGGGGACAGAAAACCACCACGUUGUUUUUUCCAUGUGAAAGAACCGACAACCUAUUACAUAAAAGGCUAUAACCGGCAGAAAUCAAGGCAAAAAGUUAGUGACUGCAUUAUGUCAAAAUCAUGUCCAUUUCCUUGAGUUCUCACCGAAAUGUGGCUAGUAAGCCAAUUAACCCAU